AGGCUCACCUCCCGUUUUUUUUAAAAUUUAUUUUUGGAUAUUAUUGAUAAUUCUAUCAAAAUUCAACAAAAGUAGUAUUUAAAAAGAUGGACCUACCCAUCAUUAUUCUGAAAAGUAAGGGUCCAUUCCAUUAUACAAAAUACCCGGCCCAUCCCCAUUUUCUCCAGACAUAUAAAUGUAUCCCUAGGGUUUCCUAAUUCAUUCCCUCCCCUUAAUUUCCGCCUCUCCUUCAGCUUCUUAGGUGAAAAAUAGAGAAACAUCACCUGAAUCUCCAAUUCCUCUUGUUCUUGCUGUGGAUCAACAAUACUGUGCCUUGGACUAUAGAGAUGUGUUUUGAUAUCAGCUUUUUAAACUAAGCUUCUUCUAGACUUCCGUUUGAGUAGCUCUUCUUCUCCCUUAUUGAUUGCUACAUUAACUUCUCUUUGUUGUUUCAACUGAGAUCUUUGUUGGAUGGGUUGUAUUAUUGAUUUUGGUGCUGAUUUGAGGGUCAAAGGUUCCUGGAACUGAUUGCAUGUCCAGCGUGGAUGAAGAUACAGAGAAGCUCGAACCCACACAACUAUUGGAUUGCCAUCUGUGCCCAGGUGUAUUAGCUGCUUAGACUUCACUUGACCUUUAUCCCUUCUUAUUUUUAAUGGUUGAAUUUGUAUAGGCUAGUCAGCUUUUGGUUAUAACUAUUGGCCUCUUGGCUUGUAAAUAAAUGCUUGUAGUCUUUGGUAGUAUCUGUCGCCUUCAGCCUUCUCAUGAUUUUGCUGUUGAUAAUCUGAUAUAAGGGCACUGUAGCUUGUUACUAUUUAAAAUCUUCCUGCUUUGUAAUUCCAACUGCUGAAAUGAAGAUAUGCUAAAAUUUCCCUUUUUC